GAGGGUGUAGCUCAGUGGUAGAGCACAUGGUUAGCAUGCACAGGGUCCUGGGUUCAAUCCCCAGUACCUCUA
rnacentral:tRNA from 1 species